UACGUAGGGGGCAAGCGUUACCCGGAUUUAUUGGGCGUAAAGAGCGUGUAGGCGGCUAGGUAGGUCCGUUGUGAAAACUCGAGGCUCAACCUCGAGCUGUCGGUGGAAACCGUGUGGCUAGAGUCCGGAAGAGGAGAGUGGAAUUCCCGGUGUAGCGGUGAAAUGCGCAGAUAUCGGGAAGAACACCCGUGGCGAAGGCGGCUCUCUGGGACGGUACUGACGCUGAGACGCGAAAGCGUGGGGAGCGAACAGG
rnacentral:rRNA from 1 species